UUCGCAAUGCCCGAAAGGGUGACGAAGCGACGCCGCGUGUGGGAUGAAGGCCUUCGGGUUGUAAACCACUGUCGGGAGUUAAGAAUUGUAGGAACGCUAAUAGUGUUCCUACUUGACUAAGGCUCCGGAGGAAGCCACGGCUAACUCUGUGCCAGCAGCCGCGGUAAUACAGAGGCGGCAAGCGUUGUUCGGAAUUAUUGGGCGUGAAGAGCACGUAGGCGGCCUUGCAAGUCAGUUGUGAAAGCCUUCCGCUUAACGGAAGAACGGCAUCUGAUAUUACAGGGCUUGAGUACGGGAGGGGAGAGUGGAACUUCUGGUGGAGCGGUGAAAUGCGUAGAUAUCAGAAGGAACGUCGGCGGCGAAAGCGACUCUCUAGACCGUAACUGACGCUGAGUGUGCGAAAGCUAGGGGAGCAAACGGGAUUAGAUACCCCGGUAGUCCUAGCCGUAAACGAUGGGCACUAAGUAGAGGGGUUUU
rnacentral:rRNA from 1 species